AGGUUACUGCUAUCGGUGUUCGCGUCAGCCAUGCGAGUCAUAUGUUCUUCGUGAACAUGGCGUACUGCUCAGUAACACGUGGAUAACCUGCCUUUGGGUCCGGCAUAACCCCGGGAAACUGGGGAUAAUUCCGGAUAACGCACAUAUGCUGGAAUGCUUUAUGCGUCAAAUGGAUUCGUCCGCCCAAGGAUGGGUCUGCGGCCUAUCAGGUAGUAGUGGGUGUAAUGUACCUACUAGCUACGACGGGUACGGGUUGUGAGAGCAAGAGCCCGGAGAUGGAUUCUGAGACAUGAAUCCAGGCCUUACGGGGCGCAGCAGGCGCGAAAACUUUACAAUGCGGGAAACCGUGAUAAGGGGACACCGAGUGCCAGCAUCAUAUGCUGGCUGUCCGGGUGUGUAAAAUACACCUGUUAGCAAGGGCCGGGCAAGACCGGUGCCAGCCGCCGCGGUAACACCGGCGGCCCGAGUGGUGAUCGUGAUUAUUGGGUCUAAAGGGUCCGUAGCCGGUUUGGUCAGUCCUCCGGGAAAUCUGACGGCUUAACCGUUAGGCUUUCGGGGGAUACUGCCAGACUUGGAACCGGGAGAGGUAAGAGGUACUACAGGGGUAGGAGUGAAAUCUUGUAAUCCCUGUGGGACCACCUGUGGCGAAGGCGUCUUACCAGAACGGGUUCGACGGUGAGGGACGAAAGCUGGGGGCACGAACCGGAUUAGAUACCCGGGUAGUCCCAGCCGUAAACGAUGCUCGCUAGGUGUCAGGCAUGGCGCGACCGUGUCUGGUGCCGCAGGGAAGCCGUGAAGCGAGCCACCUGGGAAGUACGGCCGCAAGGCUGAAACUUAA
rnacentral:rRNA from 1 species